rnacentral:misc_RNA from 1 species
GUGUGUGAUGCAACACUCGUGAUAUUAGUACAUGGCUAUCAGAAGAAGUGAUGGGGAAAAAUAAAAAUAAAAAAUGGCUGUGCUUCAACAAUUCUGCAAUUGAAAACUGUUGUUUUAAAAGAAAAGAUUAUAAUAGAAUAAGAGCUGGGAUAUAAUUUGAAGAGGGAGAGGGGGAGUGAAGAAUUACUUAUUGUAACUUAUUCUCCAUAACAAUGAAGCUAACAGAUCAACCUGAUGUGGACGUAGAAUAUAAGCUGGUGUGGUUUAAUUAGAAUUAAUUUGAUAUUUUUUUAAAACUUGUAAUGUAAAUUCAUGUGUGUAGACAGAUUUCCUGAUUCAGCCAUACCUGCUCACUUAAAAGAAUUAAGCU